rnacentral:misc_RNA from 1 species
GCUUCUCUAACCAUCAUCUGUUUAACUUUAACCCCAGAUGAGUAGCUUCUCCGAGUUAAAGUAGGUGCCCCAAAAAUUAAAUGUGUUAAGAUUCUGAUAGAGACUUUAGGCUUUGCAAUCCUCAGCAUCAUCUCCUCUUCCAACUACUACUUUCUCUGUAUGAGUAUAUGUAAUUAUCAGUUUCGUUCCACAACAACAGAAUACUUGACCAUCAUCGAUUUGCU